AACGAACGCUGGCGGCAUGCCUACCACAUGCAAGUCGAACGAAGGCUUCGGCCUUAGUGGCGCACGGGUGCGUAACGCGUGGGAAUCUGCCCUUUGGUUCGGAAUAACAGCUGGAAACGGCUGCUAAUACCGGAUGAUGACGAAAGUCCAAAGAUUUAUCGCCAGAGGAUGAGCCCGCGUUGGAUUAGGUAGUUGGUGGGGUAAAGGCCUACCAAGCCGACGAUCCAUAGCUGGUCUGAGAGGAUGAUCAGCCACACUGGGACUGAGACACGGCCCAGACUCCUACGGGAGGCAGCAGUGGGGAAUAUUGGACAAUGGGCGCAAGCCUGAUCCAGCAAUGCCGCGUGAGUGAUGAAGGCCCUAGGGUUGUAAAGCUCUUUUACCCGGGAAGAUAAUGACUGUACCGGGAGAAUAAGCCCCGGCUAACUCCGUG
rnacentral:rRNA from 1 species